AGCGCAGGCGGUUUGAUAAGUCUGAAGUAAAAGGCUGUGGCUUAACCAUAGUAUGCUUUGGAAACUGUCAAACUUGAGUGCAGAAGGGGAGAGUGGAAUUCCAUGUGUAGCGGUGAAAUGCGUAGAUAUAUGGAGGAACACCGGUGGCGAAAGCGGCUCUCUGGUCUGUAACUGACGCUGAGGCUGAAAGCGUGGGGAGCAAACA
rnacentral:rRNA from 1 species